rnacentral:misc_RNA from 1 species
AUUGUAAUGAGAACAGUUAGGAACACUGUUGACACAGGAAGAACGGUUGUGUGCACAAUCCAUCAGCCAAGCAUUGACAUAUUUGAAGCUUUUGAUGAGUUAUUCUUGAUGAAGAGAGGAGGAGAAGAGAUAUAUGUAGGGCCAUUGGGUCGCCAUUCUUGUCAUCUGAUUAAAUAUUUUGAGGGAAUUGAAGGAGUUAGCAAAAUUACAGAUGGUUAUAAUCCAGCAACUUGGAUGUUGGAAGUUUCUAGCUCUGCACAAGAGUUAUCUUUGGGGGUUGAUUUUGCUAACAUUUACAGGAAUUCAGAUCUUUACAGGAGAAACAAAGCAAUGAUUCAGGAGUUAAGCAAGCCUGCUCCUGGUACAAAGGAUCUCUAUUUCCCUACCCAAUACUCGCAGCCCUUUUUAACCCAAUGUAUGGCUUGCUUGUGGAAGCAAUCUUGGUCAUACUGGAGGAAUCCACCAUAUAC